rnacentral:rRNA from 1 species
AAUGAACGUUGGCGGCGUGGAUUAGGCAUGCAAGUCGAGCGGAAAGGCCCGCAAGGGCACUCGAGCGGCGUAAGGGACAGUAAUGUGUAGGUAACGUACCCCUGGGUCUAGGAUAGCUGCGGGAAACUGCAAUUAAUACUAGAUAACGUCUCCGGACCAAAGGUGUGAUUCCACCUGGGGAGCGGCCUACAUCCUAUUAGCUAGUUGGCGAGGUAAUGGCUCACCAAGGCGAAGAUGGGUAGCAGGUGUGAGAGCACGACCUGCGUCACUGGGACUGAGACACUGCCCAGACACCUACGGGUGGCUGCAGUCGAGAAUCUUCGGCAAUGGGCGAAAGCCUGACCGAGCGACGCCGCGUGUGGGAUGAAGGCCUCGGUUGUAACCACUGUCGGAGGGAGUGAAGUG